GCAUCAGUGGUGUAGCGGUAACAUUGGGUCUUCCCACCUCAGAUGGCCGCGUUGAUUUGUCGUAAUGAGUUUGGCCUAGCUCCGGGUUCGACUCCCGGCUGAUGCA